AGCAGUGUGACUUAGUGGAUAGAGCCUGGGUCUGGGAGUCAGGAGGACCUGGGUUCUAAUCCCAGCUCUGCCA
rnacentral:tRNA from 1 species